UACGUAGGGGCUGGCGUUAUCCGGAAUUACUGGGCGUAAAGGGCAGGCAGGCGGAUCCAUAAGUUUAUCGUUUAAGGCGUCGGCUUAACCGGCGUAGGGCGGUAGAUACUGUGGAUCUGGAAUGCGGUUGGGGAAGACAGAAUUCCUGGUGUAGCGGUGGAAUGCGCAGAGAUCAGGAGGAAUACCGAAGGCGAAGGCAGUCUUCCAAGCCGUUAUUGACGCUCAACUGCGAAGGUGUGGGUAUCAAACAGGAUUAGAUACCCUGGUAGUCCCUGA
rnacentral:rRNA from 1 species